rnacentral:ncRNA from 2 species
AUUACGUCCUAGGGGAGCUAUUUAGCUGAGAGGAAACUGAAAGUUUUGACCCUUUGAACCUGAUCUAGUUAACACUAGCGUAGGGAAGCGAUGAGUUUGUGUU